GCCCUUAGAGUUUGAUCAUGGCUCAGGAUGAACGCUGGCGGCGUGCCUAAUACAUGCAAGUCGAGCGGAGCCCUUCGGGGCUCAGCGGCGGACGGGUGAGUAACACGUGGGUAACCUGCCUGUAAGACUGGGAUAACUUUCGGAAACGGAAGCUAAUACCGGAUACGUUCUGAGACCGCAUGGUCUCGGAUGGAAAGGGGGCUUCGGCUGUCACUUACAGAUGGACCCGCGUCGCAUUAGCUAGUUGGUGAGGUAACGGCUCACCAAGGCGACGAUGCGUAGCCGACCUGAGAGGGUGAUCGGCCACACUGGGACUGAGACACGGCCCAGACUCCUACGGGAGGCAGCAGUAGGGAAUCUUCGGCAAUGGGCGAAAGCCUGACCGAGCAACGCCGCGUGAGCGAUGAAGGCCUUCGGGUCGUAAAGCUCUGUUGUUAAGGAAGAACAAGUGCGAGAGUAACUGCCCGCACCUUGACGGUACUUGACGAGAAAGCCACGGCUAACUACGUGCCAGCAGCCGCGGUAAUACGUAGGUGGCAAGCGUUAUCCGGAAUUAUUGGGCGUAAAGCGCGCGCAGGCGGCUUCUUAAGUCUGAUGUGAAAGCCCACGGCUCAACCGUGGAGGGUCAUUGGAAACUGGGAGGCUUGAGUGCAGAAGAGGAAAGCGGAAUUCCACGUGUAGCGGUGAAAUGCGUAGAGAUGUGGAGGAACACCAGUGGCGAAGGCGGCUUUCUGGUCUGUAACUGACGCUGAGGCGAGAAAGCGUGGGGAGCAAACAGGAUUAGAUACCCUGGUAGUCCACGCCGUAAACGAUGAGUGCUAAGUGUUAGGGGGUUUCCGCCCCUUAGUGCUGAAGUUAACGCAUUAAGCACUCCGCCUGGGGAGUACGGCCGCAAGGCUGAAACUCAAAGGAAUUGACGGGGGCCCGCACAAGCGGUGGAGCAUGCGGUUUAAUUCGAAGCAACGCGAAGAACCUUACCAGGUCUUGACAUCCUCUGACAACCUGAGAGAUCAGGCGUCCCCUUCGGGGGCAGAGUGACAGGUGGUGCAUGGUUGUCGUCAGCUCGUGUCGUGAGAUGUUGGGUUAAGUCCCGCAACGAGCGCAACCCUUGACCUUAGUUGCCAGCAUUCAGUUGGGCACUCUAGGGUGACUGCCGGUGACAAACCGGAGGAAGGUGGGGAUGACGUCAAAUCAUCAUGCCCCUUAUGACCUGGGCUACACACGUGCUACAAUGGACGGUACAAAGAGCAGCAAGACCGCGAGGUGGAGCCAAUCUCAGAAAACCGUUCUCAGUUCGGAUUGCAGGCUGCAACUCGCCUGCAUGAAGCUGGAAUCGCUAGUAAUCGCGGAUCAGCAUGCCGCGGUGAAUACGUUCCCGGGCCUUGUACACACCGCCCGUCACACCACGAGAGUUUGCAACACCCGAAGUCGGUGGGGUAACCCUUACGGGAGCCAGCCGCCUAAGGUGGGGCAGAUGAUUGGGGUGAAGUCGUAACAAGGUAACCAAGGGC
rnacentral:rRNA from 1 species